rnacentral:tRNA from 1 species
UGGCCCGUGGUGUAACGGUAGCACAACUGACUCUGGAUCAGUUUGUCCUAGUUCAAAUCUAGGCGGGCCAG